rnacentral:rRNA from 1 species
GACGAACGCUGGCGGCGUGCUUAACACAUGCAAGUCGAACGGGUCUGCCCUGUUUUUUGCGGGGUGGGUCAGUGGCGAACGGGUGAGUAACACGUGAGUAACCUGCCCCUCACUUCUGGAUAACCGCUUGAAAGGGUGGCUAAUACGGGGUGUUCUGGCUGUGCCGCAUGGUGUGGCUGGGAAAGAUUCACUUUUGUGGUGUUUUGGUGGGGGAUGGGCUCGCGGCCUAUCAGCUUGUUGGUGGGGUGAUGGCCUGCCAAGGCUUUGACGGGUAGCCGGCCUGGGAGGGUGGGCGGUCACACUGGGACUGAGAUACGGCCCAGACUCCUGCGGGAGGCAGCAGUGGGGGGUAUUGCACAAUGGGCGGAAGCCUGAUGCAGCGACGUCGCGUGUGGGAUGGAGGCCUUCGGGUUGUGAACCUCUUUCGCCGGUGAAGAAGGUCCUGCUCUUUGUGGUGGGGUUGACGGUAGCCGGGUUAUGAAGCGCCGGCUAACUACGUG